CGUGGGUGUAUAGAGGUGGGGCGGAUCCUUUGUGUGCGACACGGGCGCACGGCGGCUCAAGCGCAAGCAAUUCGAAAGCACGAAAUUUAAAGUAAUCAAUACUUCUGACUUCACAAAACCACCCCACGGCCCGUUCAAACAAAGUGGGUGUGUGCAAUGAAGACAGGUAUACUGUAUUCAUAAUAUUCAUUGUACAAUAUUAUAAACAUAUAUAUAGAGGAACAUCCGAUGGACUACAUUCACUCAUUUCUACAUCUGCAGCUACGGGGUCGCCUUCACCAUAAAUCAUCGAACUGCGACAUCGGUUAACAUAUAUUGUCGAUGAUUUUGGUUUCCCGGUCGCCAAUAAAUCAUCUUUUAAAUUAUUUUUGGUGACUGGCAUUUUAAACUGAACACAUAUUUGGAAACAAAAUAAUUGAUAAUUUUCCUGUAAAUACAUAUUACAUAAAUCAUAAAUGUAUUAAUAUUAAAUGUAUAUAGGUACUAUAAUAUAGCCAUAUACGUGCCUACAUAAUGUACAUAGCUAGAAAUAUACCUAACAUGCAUAUACCU